rnacentral:rRNA from 1 species
AUAGUUCUUGAGAUACGGGGAAUGUCCUAUCAGGUAGUUGGUGAGGUAACGGCUCACCAAGCCAAAGACGGGUAGCGGGUGUGAGAGCAUGACCCGCCGCCAUCGGGACUGAGACACUGCCCGGACUCCUACGGGAGGCUGCAGUAACGAAUCUUCCGCAAUGCGCGAAAGCGUGACGGAGCAAUGCUCGCGUGCAGGAUGAAGCCCCUCGGGGUGUAAACUGCUGUCAGGGGUUACCACAACCGAGGAUCCCCAAAGGAAGAGCCGGCUAACUCUGUGCCAGCAGCCGCGGUAAUACAGAGGGCUCGAGCGUUAAUCGGAAUCACUGGGCUUAAAGCGUGCGUAGGCGGAGGCGUAAGUGUCUUGUGAAAUCCCACAGCUCAACUGUGGAACUGCGAGGCAUACUGCGUCUCUUGAGGUCGGUAGAGGUCGCCGGAACUGUAGGUGUAGCGGUGAAAUGCGUAGAUAUCUACAGGAACGCCAAUGGUGAAGACAGGCGACUGGGCCGAUUCUGACGCUCAGGCACGAAAGCGUGGGGAGCAAACAGGAUUAGAUACCCUGGUAGUCCACGCCGUAAACGAUGCAUACUAGAUUCGGGAGGUUCUGACACCAUCCGAAUCGUAGCAAAAGUGCUAAGUAUGCCGCCUGGGGAGUACGGUCGCAAGGCUAAAACUCAAAGGAAUUGACGGGGGCUCACACAAGCGGUGGAGCAUGUGGCUUAAUUCGAAGCAACGCGAAGAACCUUAUCCUGGGCUUGACAUGCAUGGAUUAACUCUCUGAAAGGAGAGCCACACUCGCAAGAGUGGAACAUGCACAGGUGCUGCAUGGCUGUCGUCAGCUCGUGCUGUGAAGUGUCGGGUUAAGUCCCUUAACGAGCGAAACCCCUGUCGUUAGUUGCCAGCGCGCCUUCGGGUGGCGGGAACUCUAACGAGACUGCCGGUGUCAAACCGGAGGAAGGUGGGGAUGACGUCAAGUCCUCAUGGCCUUUAUGCCCAGGGCUGCACACGUGCUACAAUGGCAUGUACAAAGCGAAGCAAUGCCGCAAGGUGGAGCAAAUCGCAUAAAGCAUGCCCCAGUUCAGAUUGUGGUCUGCAACUCGACCACAUGAAGUCGGAAUCGCUAGUAAUCGGGGAUCAGCUACGCCCCGGUGAAUAUGUUCCUGAGCCUUGUACACACCGCCCGUCAAGUCAUGGAAGCCGGAAAUACCCGAAGUCGCCCUAAUUCAAGGGUGCCGACGGUAGGUUC